UGUAUAAUGGGUCAGCGACUUAUAUUCUGUAGCAAGGUUAACCGAAUAGGGGAGCCGAAGGGAAACCGAGUCUUAACUGGGCGUUAAGUUGCAGGGUAUAGACCCGAAACCCGGUGAUCUAGCCAUGGGCAGGUUGAAGGUUGGGUAACACUAACUGGAGGACCGAACCGACUAAUGUUGAAAAAUUAGCGGAUGACUUGUGGCUGGGGGUGAAAGGCCAAUCAAACCGGGAGAUAGCUGGUUCUCCCCGAAAGCUAUUUAGGUAGCGCCUCGUGAAUUCAUCUCCGGGGGUAGAGCACUGUUUCGGCAAGGGGGUCAUCCCGACUUACCAACCCGAUGCAAACUGCGAAUACCGGAGAAUGUUAUCACGGGAGACACACGGCGGGUGCUAACGUCCGUCGUGAAGAGGGAAACAACCCAGACCGCCAGCUAAGGUCCCAAAGUCAUGGUUAAGUGGGAAACGAUGUGGGAAGGCCCAGACAGCCAGGAUGUUGGCUUAGAAGCAGCCAUCAUUUAAAGAAAGCGUAAUAGCUCACUGGUCGAGUCGGCCUGCGCGGAAGAUGUAACGGGGCUAAACCAUGCACCGAAGCUGCGGCAGCGACACUGUGUGUUGUUGGGUAGGGGAGCGUUCUGUAAGCCUGUGAAGGUGUGCUGUGAGGCAUGCUGGAGGUAUCAGAAGUGCGAAUGCUGACAUAAGUAACGAUAAAGCGGGUGAAAAGCCCGCUCGCCGGAAGACCAAGGGUUCCUGUCCAACGUUAAUCGGGGCAGGGUGAGUCGACCCCUAAGGCGAGGCCGAAAGGCGUAGUCGAUGGGAAACAGGUUAAUAUUCCUGUACUUGGUGUUACUGCGAAGGGGGGACGGAGAAGGCUAUGUUGGCCGGGCGACGGUUGUCCCGGUUUAAGCGUGUAGGCUG
rnacentral:rRNA from 1 species